GAUGAAGAACGCAGCGAAAGGCGAUAAGUAAUGUGAAUUUCAGAAUUCAGUGAAUCAUCGAAUCUUUGAACGCACAUUGCGCCCGCCAGUAUUCUGGCGGGCAUGCCUGUUCGAGCGUCAUUUCAACCAUCAAGCCCCCGGCUUGUGUUGGGGACCUGCGGCUGCCGCAGGCCCUGAAAAGCAGUGGCGGGCUCGCUGUCACACCGAGCGUAGUAGCAUACAUCUCGCUCUGGGCGUGCUGCGGGUUCCGGCCGUUAAACCACCUUCAUAACCCAAGGUUGACCUCGGAUCAGGUAGGAAGACCCGCUGAACUUAAGCAUAUCAAUAAGCGGAGGA
rnacentral:misc_RNA from 1 species